AGUGAAGCGGGAUGAGCUCAAAUUUAAAAUCUGGCUGGUUUACUAGUCCGAAUUGUAGUUUAAAGAAGCGUUUUCGGUGGCAGCCUGGGUAUAAAUCCUUUGGAACAGGGUAUCAUAGAGGGUGAGAAUCCCGUCUUUGACCUAGUGCAUGCUACUAUGUGAUACGUUUUCAAAGAGUCGAGUUGUUUGGGAAUGCAGCUCAAAAUGGGUGGUAAAUUUCAUCUAAAGCUAAAUAUUGGCGAGAGACCGAUAGCGAACAAGUACCGUGAGGGAAAGAUGAAAAGAACUUUGAAAAGAGAGUUAAACAGUGCGUGAAAUUGUUGAAAGGGAAACGUUUGACACCAGUCAUGCGGAUGAAAAAUCAGUUAAUGCUAGUGGGGAGUGGUACGGGUUCAGACCGCAAGGCUGGCCUUUGCUUCAUCUCUGCUGUCAUUGAUGCACUUUUUCAUUUGCAGGUCAACAUCAGUUUUCCUUGCUGGACAAAACUCCAAGAGAAGGUAGCAGCUUAGGCUGUGUUAUAGCUCUGGAGCGAUACAGUGGGGGGUACUGAGGAUUUCGCAGUGUGUGCUCUCGGGCAAGGCUGACUGGGUGCUAUGGGAUCGUUCGGUGUACAAUGCAUGCAUUUUGCGUCGUGUCUUUCCUAUACUCGCUCAGCUCAGCUCUUCCACACUUAGGAUGUUGACUUAAUGGUUUUAAACGACCCGUCUUGAAACACGGACCAAGGAGUCUAACAUAUAUGCAAGUGUUUGGGUGGCAAACCCAUACGCGUAAUGAAAGUGAACGUAGGUGCCAUCCGCAAGGUGCAGCAUCGACCGAUCUUGAUAUUUUUGGAUAGAUUUGAGUAAGAGCAUAUAUGCUGGGACCCGAAAGAUGGUGAACUAUGCCUGAAUAGGGUGAAGCCAGAGGAAACUCUGGUGGAGGCUCGUAGCGAUUCUGACGUGCAAAUCGAUCGUCAAAUUUGGGUAUAGGGGCGAAAGACUAAUCGAACCAUCUUGUAGCUGGUUCCUGCCGAAGUUUCCCUCAG
rnacentral:rRNA from 1 species